rnacentral:rRNA from 1 species
AGGGAGUCUCCGGCAAUGGGCGAAAGCCUGACCGAGCAACGCCGCGUGAAUGAUGAAGGCCUUCGGGUUGUAAAAUUCUGUUAUAAGGGAAGAACGACUUUAGUAGGAAAUGGCUAAAGUGUGACGGUACCUUAUGAGAAAGCCACGGCUAACUACGUGCCAGCAGCCGCGGUAAUACGUAGGUGGCAAGCGUUAUCCGGAAUUAUUGGGCGUAAAGAGCGCGCAGGUGGUUGAUUAAGUCUGAUGUGAAAGCCCACGGCUUAACCGUGGAGGGUCAUUGGAAACUGGUCGACUUGAGUGCAGAAGAGGGAAGUGGAAUUCCAUGUGUAGCGGUGAAAUGCGUAGAGAUAUGGAGGAACACCAGUGGCGAAGGCGGCUUCCUGGUCUGUAACUGACACUGAGGCGCGAAAGCGUGGGGAGCAAAC